rnacentral:ncRNA from 1 species
GUCGUUGCGAUAGUAAUCCUGCUCAGUACGAUAGGAACCGCAAGUUCGGACAUUUGGUUCGCGCACUCGAUCGAGCGGCCGGUGCUGCGAAACUAUCAUCCGUGGGAUUAUGCCUGAACGACUCUAAGGCCUUAUGCUUUCUAGCCAAAGGAGGCAACGAU